CAGUAGCCACGGUAAUACGUAGGUGGCAAGCGUUGUCCGGAAUUAUUGGGCGUAAAGCGCGCGCAGGCGGAUAGGUCAGUCUGUCUUAAAAGUUCGGGGCUUAACCCCGUGAUGGGAUGGAGACUGCCAAUCUAGAGUAUCGGAGAGGAAAGUGGAAUUCCUAGUGUAGCGGUGAAAUGCGUAGAUAUUAGGAAGAACACCAGUGGCGAAGGCGACUUUCUGGACGAAAACUGACGCUGAGGCGCGAAAGCCAGGGGAGCGAACGGGAUUAGAUACCCCGGUAGUCCUGUCUCUUAUACAC
rnacentral:rRNA from 1 species